GAUGAACGCUGGCGGCGUGCCUAAUACAUGCAAGUCGAGCGAACAGACGAGGAGCUUGCUCCUCUGACGUUAGCGGCGGACGGGUGAGUAACACGUGGAUAACCUACCUAUAAGACUGGGAUAACUUCGGGAAACCGGAGCUAAUACCGGAUAACAUGUUGAACCGCAUGGUUCAACAGUGAAAUACGGUCUUGCUGUCACUUAUAGAUGGAUCCGCGCCGCAUUAGCUAGUUGGUAAGGUAACGGCUUACCAAGGCAACGAUGCGUAGCCGACCUGAGAGGGUGAUCGGCCACACUGGAACUGAGACACGGUCCAGACUCCUACGGGAGGCAGCAGUAGGGAAUCUUCCGCAAUGGGCGAAAGCCUGACGGAGCAACGCCGCGUGAGUGAAGAAGGUCUUCGGAUCGUAAAACUCUGUUAUUAGGGAAGAACAAAUGUGUAAGUAACUAUGCACGUCUUGACGGUACCUAAUCAGAAAGCCACGGCUAACUACGUG
rnacentral:rRNA from 1 species